rnacentral:rRNA from 1 species
AUGAACGCUGGCGGCGUGCUUAACACAUGCAAGUCGAACGGUGAACACGGAGCUUGCUCUGUGGGAUCCGUGGCGAACGGGUGAGUAACACGUGAGCAACCUGCCCCUGACUCUGGGAUAAGCGCUGGAAACGGCGUCUAAUACUGGAUAUGUGACGUGACCGCAUGGUCUGCGUUUGGAAAGAUUUUUCGGUUGGGGAUGGGCUCGCGGCCUAUCAGCUUGUUGGUGAGGUAAUGGCUCACCAAGGCGUCGACGGGUAGCCGGCCUGAGAGGGUGACCGGCCACACUGGGACUGAGACACGGCCCAGACUCCUACGGGAGGCAGCAGUGGGGAAUAUUGCACAAUGGGCGCAAGCCUGAUGCAGCAACGCCGCGUGAGGGAUGACGGCCUUCGGGUUGUAAACCUCUUUUAGCAGGGAAGAAGCGAAAGUGACGGUACCUGCAGAAAAAGCGCCGGCUAACUACGUG